rnacentral:rRNA from 1 species
AUUGAACGCUGGCGGCAUGCUUUACACAUGCAAGUCGAACGGCAGCGCGGGGCAACCUGGCGGCGAGUGGAGAACGGGUGAGUAAUAUAUCGGAACGUAACCAGACGUGGGGGAUGACGUAGCGACAGUUACGCUAAUACCACAUACGAUCUAAGGAUGAACGUAGGGGUCCGCAAGGCAUUAUGCUUUUGGGGCGGGCGAUAACUGAUUAGCUAGUUGGUGGGGUAAAGGCUCACCAAGGCGACGAUCAGUAGCUGGUCUGAGAGGACGACCAGCCACACGGGAACUGAGACACGGUCCAGACUCCUACGGGAGGCAGCAGUGGGGAAUGGUGGACAAUGGGCGCAAGCCUGAGCCAGCAAUGCCGCGUGAGUGAAGAAAGCCUUCGGGUUGUAAAGCUCGCUUGUCAGUGAAGAAACGCUAUAGGCUAAUAUCCAGUGCUAAUGACGGUACCUGAUAAAUAAGCACCGGCUAACUACGUG